rnacentral:rRNA from 1 species
AUACGGGGGACGCGAGCGUUAUCCGGAUUCAUUGGGUUUAAAGGGUGCGCAGGCGGCCGUGCAAGUCAGCGGUGAAAGCCCGGGGCUCAACCCCGGAAGUGCCGUUGAUACUGCAUGGCUGGAAUGCGGUCGAGGCGGGCGGAACGGGGCGUGUAGCGGUGGAAUGCGUAGAUAUGCCACAGAACGCCGAUAGCGGAGGCAGCUCGCCAGGCCUGCAUUGACGCUCGGGCACGAAAGCGUGGGGAUCGAACAGGAUUAGAUACCCUGGUAGUCCACGCCGUAAACGAUGGGCGCUCGUCGUCGGCGGCAGACAGUCGGCGGCCAAGCGAAAGCGAUAAGCGCCCCACCUGGGGAGCACAGUCGCAAGGCUGAAACUCAAAUGAAUUGACGGGG